AGGGAACCAGCACGGCCGCAAAUCUGACUCGCUCGGCGUCGACGUCGGGCUUCGAGAUUGCGGAAGUGC
rnacentral:ncRNA from 1 species